rnacentral:rRNA from 1 species
CCUACGGGAGGCAGCAGUGAGGAAUAUUGGUCAAUGGACGCAAGCCUGAACCAGCCAUGCCGCGUGCAGGAAGACGGCUCUAUGAGUUGUAAACUGCUUUUGUACGAGGGUAAACGCAGAUACGCGUCCCGGUCUGAGAGUAUCGUACGAAUAAGGAUCGGCUAACUCCGUGCCAGCAGCCGCGGUAAUACGGAGGAUUCAAGCGUUAUCCGGAUUUAUUGGGUUGAAAGGGUGCGUAGGCGGACGGAUAAGUUAGGGGGGAAAUCCCGGGGCUCAACUUCGGAAUUGCCUCUGAUACUGUUCGGCUAGAGAGUAGUUGCGGUAGGCGGAAUGCAUGGUGUAGCGGUGAAAUGCUUAGAUAUCAUACAGAACACCGAUUGCGAAGGCAGCUUACCGAGCUACUUCUGACGUUGAGGCACGAAAGCGUGGGGAGCGAACAGGAUUAGAUACCCCAGUAGUC